rfam:Schistosoma curassoni strain Dakar, Senegal genome assembly, scaffold: SCTD_scaffold0001797
GCACUACUGAGAAGUCUCAAAAUAGGACGAAACAGCUGUCCAGUGC